rnacentral:rRNA from 1 species
AUUGAACGCUGGCGGCAGGCCUAACACAUGCAAGUCGAACGGUAACAGGAAGCAGCUUGCUGCUUUGCUGACGAGUGGCGGACGGGUGAGUAAUGUCUGGGAAACUGCCCGAUGGAGGGGGAUAACUACUGGAAACGGUAGCUAAUACCGCAUAACGUCGCAAGACCAAAGAGGGGGACCUUAGGGCCUCUUGCCAUCGGCUGUGCCCAGAUGGGAUUAGCUAGUAGGUGGGGUAACGGCUCACCUAGGCGACGAUCCCUAGCUGGUCUGAGAGGAUGACCAGCCACACUGGAACUGAGACACGGUCCAGACUCCUACGGGAGGCAGCAGUGGGGAAUAUUGCACAAUGGGCGCAAGCCUGAUGCAGCCAUGCCGCGUGUAUGAAGAAGGCCUUCGGGUUGUAAAGUACUUUCAGCGGGGAGGAAGGGAGUAAAGUUAAUACCUUGGCUCAUUGACGUUACCCGCAGAAGAAGCACCGGCUAACUCCGUG